AACAAUGAUAAAAAUCUUUUCUGAAGUCAAAUUUCAGCGUGUAACACUCUUGUUAAGUAUG
rnacentral:tRNA from 1 species